AAACAGUAGAUGAUGGCUCUAGAGGCAUAUGGAAGACCCGAAUUGAAUUCAGGCUCCUGGCUUUGGCCUGACUCUGCCCUGUCAAACAUGUUAUAAAGGAAUAUAGUGAUAGAUUCUAUCAUAUGUAAGUAAAAUUAAUAUUUUAAAGAGCAAGAAGUAGAAGAGAAAAUUAAUUUGAACUUAUUAUACCUAUUCAUAUAGAGACACUAAUAGAUAAAAUGAGCAAAUUGGGAAAAUUGUAACACAUUCAACUUUAACAUAUAUAUAUAUAUUCUUUUGUUGGUUACUGUGUGUCACUUUUAGGAGUACUAUAUGCAAAUAUGGGCAUGAAACAUUGUCUCAAGCAGCUUUUAUUCUAGCGGAGGAGACAGAGGAGUGAACCUGAGUCCCCACUCAAAGCAUUCAUGUCUAUGGCAGGAUGGUUCCACAAGCAUACACCAACAUUUCCAGCAGUAUUGCAUACAUAUUGUUGCCCAGUAGGUAAGUAGGAGGUAUCAGAGAAUGAAGACCAUUCCAGGCAGCUACAGUGGGAUCUGCAAAGUCACAGAUCAUGUAAAAGCAAGACAUGUAAAUUAGUUUCAUGAAUGCAUUCCUCGUACUUAUCACAUGCCUGACACAUAAAACGUAGUAAAUAAAAUUUUUAAUGUUUUCAUUUACUUAUUUGAGAGGCAAAGAUAGAGAAAGCAAGAGAUAGAGAUCUUACAUUUGAUGUUUCAUUCUCCAAAUUCCUGCAACAGUCAGGACUGGGCCAGGCUGAAGUCAGAGGCCUGGGAUUAAAUCCAGAUCACACACAUAGGUGGCACCACCCCAAGUCAUUAAGCCAUCACCUCUGCUUGCCAGGGUACACAUUAGCAGGAAGAUAGAAAAAGGAGCAGAGCCAGGACUCAAACCCAGGAUCUCUGAUGUAUAAUGUGGGCAUCGCAAGCCCCACCUAAGCUGCUGAGCCAAACACCCACUGCUUUAAAGAAUUUGAAUGAAUUUUAGUGAGCAUAAAAUCUGGGUUAUGGGAAAAGACAGGGAGACAGCCAAUGUGGUUGAGAGUGCUGAUGAACUAAUGGAACUCGUACACUUCCAGUGGCAGGUAAGUUGAGCACCUUCAGAAAGGUUUUGGAAAAUAAGCAAAAGCCUUAAAAACAUACAUACUUCCAAUCAAGCAGUUCCUCUGUCCUCUUUAAAGAACUAUUUCUAGGUAAGGAAAAAACUGUCCUGAAAAUGUGUACAAAGAUACCAAUUACCAGAGAAGUAG
rnacentral:lncRNA from 1 species